CACCCCUUGCACUGGGGGGCAAAAUCUUAAUCAGAGAAGUCCUGAUUCUCCAAUGCUUGAAGCAGGAGUAGAGCACUGUGAGUUUUAGAAUUCAUUCAGCUCAGGAAAAAAAAAAAGGUUUCUAAAGCUAAGAAGUCUCUUCGCUGUAAUAUUUAGACUUUUGGCACUUAUUCAGCCCUUUCUUACAUGCACACACUGGAAAACAGGAAGCUGGAGAAAGCCUUGGAGAAGGUUGUAGAAAAAGCCGUAUAUUACAGGAAGCUCUUUUCUCUGUGCCCAGAGGAGACGCAGAAGGCACCAUGUGAACACGGUGGAUUCUUUACUGCUGAGCCACCGGGGAAGAUCCCAGACAGAGAUGCAGCCUUCCUCAAAAGUAUCCUCAGGUUUUCAUUGGUUCAACAUAAGUGGCUGCUCCAGACUUUGAACAUCUUCAGUGAAACCUUGUGAGAAGGUUUAACCUUUCUCUGGUCAAGUAUCAAAACUCCAAGUGAAUUGGAACACUUAGAACAUAACUAUUCUGACAGGAGGCACUAUUUUCAAGGUAUGAAAAUGAGUUUUGCAUGUAGUUUUGCAUUAUUGUUCCAGGACAUAUUAGAUUCAUAACACUGGAC
rnacentral:lncRNA from 1 species